CACACAUGCAAAGAUGACGUGUGAAUUCAGGAGGCACUCUGUGGCAUCUGUGAACAUGUAUGUCAAGGUUUCACUUUUCCGUGUAACCCUAAAGAGUGGACACAAAAGACGUAUUUGCUUGAAAGAAGAUGGUGGAUAGAUUUGCCAUGGGAUGAUUCUUAGAGAAUAUGUGAGAACAUGCUGACAUCAUCUGACACCUGCCAAACCAGCCAUCUUCCCCCAUGCCUCGUGCUAGAAAUUGAAGC